UGUGGGAGCGAGCCUGCUCGCGAUGAGGCAGUGUCAGUCAACAUCACUGUUGGCUGAUUCACCGCCAUCGCGAGCAGGCUCGCUCCCACA
rnacentral:misc_RNA from 1 species